UCUCUCUUCCUCCAUAAAACUCAACUCACAGUGGAUUAAGAAUCUAGGCAUUAGACCAGAGACCCUGCAUCUAAUAAAAGAAAAAAUAGGCCUAAAUUUAUAUCAUGUUGGCUUAGAAACCACCUUCCUUAACAAGACUCUAAAUGCACAAGAAAUAAAAUCAAGAACCAACAAAUGGGAUGGGUUCAAAAUAAAAAGCUUACUCACAGGAAAAAAAAUCAAUAAUGUGAAGAGAAAGCCUAGAGAAUGGGAGAAAAUUUUUGCCAUGUGAACCUCAGAUAGAGCGCUAAUUUCCAAGAUAUAUAAUUAACUCAAAAAACUUAAAACACACACACACACACACAGAAAUAAAUGGGCUAAAGAUCUGAACAAACACUUCACAGAACAAGAAAUACAAAUGGUCAAAAAAUUCUCAAGAAAAUAUUCAACAUCUCUAGCAAUUAGAGAAAUGCAAAUUAAAACAACACUGAACUUUCAUCUCACUACAGUCAGAAUAGAAAUUAUCAAGAAUACAAGCAACAAUAAAUGAUGGUGAGGAUGUGGGAGGAAAGCUUUCAUUCAUCCAUUGUUGGUGGGACUGCAAAUUUCUGCAAACAUUAUGGAUAGCAGUGUGGAGAUUCCUCAGAAUGUUUGGAAUGGAACCACCAUUUGAGCCAGUUAUCCCACUCCUCAGUGUAUACCCAAAAGAAUUAAAAUCAGCAUACUACAGUGACACAGUCACUUCAGUGUUUAUCCAACUAAACUAUGGAACCAACCUACAUGCCCUUCAAUAGAUGAAUGAAUAAUGAAACUGGUAUAUACACACAAUGGAAUACUACUGAGUCAUAAAGAAAAAUGAUAUUAUAAUGUUUGCUGGCAAAUUGAUGUAACUGGAGAAUGACAUGCUAAGUGAAAUAAGCCAACCAGAUUAAGAAAAGGCUGAAAGUUUUCUGUU
rnacentral:lncRNA from 1 species